ensembl:misc_RNA Metazoa_SRP Metazoan signal recognition particle RNA
GCUGGGUGUGGUGGUACGCACCUGUAGUCCCAGCUGCUGCGGAGGCUGAGGCGGGAAGAUCACUUGAGCCUAGGUAUUCUGGGCUGUAGUAAGCUGUGGCCUUUAGGUGUUUGUACUAAGUGUAGCAUCAAUAUCGUGAUCUUCCAGGAGUAGGGAGCCACCAGGUUGCCUAAGGAGAGCUGAACCAGCCCAGUCAGAAAUGAGCAGGUCAAAGCUCCAGGGCUAUCAGUAAUGGGAUGGGGCCUACGAAUAACCACUGCACUCAGCCUCGGCAGCACAGCAAGACCCUCUU